rnacentral:rRNA from 1 species
GAACGCUGGCGGCGUGCUUAACACAUGCAAGUCGAACGGUGAAGCAGAGCUUGCUCUGUGGAUCAGUGGCGAACGGGUGAGUAACACGUGAGCAAUCUGCCCUUGACUCUGGGAUAAGCGCUGGAAACGGCGUCUAAUACUGGAUACGAGCUGCGAAGGCAUCUUCAGCAGCUGGAAAGAAUUUCGGUCAAGGAUGAGCUCGCGGCCUAUCAGCUUGUUGGUGAGGUAAUGGCUCACCAAGGCGUCGACGGGUAGCCGGCCUGAGAGGGUGACCGGCCACACUGGGACUGAGACACGGCCCAGACUCCUACGGGAGGCAGCAGUGGGGAAUAUUGCACAAUGGGCGAAAGCCUGAUGCAGCAACGCCGCGUGAGGGACGACGGCCUUCGGGUUGUAAACCUCUUUUAGCAGGGAAGAAGCGAAAGUGACGGUACCUGCAGAAAAAGCACCGGCUAACUACGUGCCAGCAGCCGCGGUAAUACGUAGGGUGCAAGCGUUAUCCGGAAUUAUUGGGCGUAAAGAGCUCGUAGGCGGUUUGUCGCGUCUGCUGUGAAAUCUGGGGGCUCAACCCCCAGCCUGCAGUGGGUACGGGCAGACUAGAGUGCGGUAGGGGAGAUUGGAAUUCCUGGUGUAGCGGUGGAAUGCGCAGAUAUCAGGAGGAACACCGAUGGCGAAGGCAGAUCUCUGGGCCGUAACUGACGCUGAGGAGCGAAAGGGUGGGGAGCAAACAGGCUUAGAUACCCUGGUAGUCCACCCCGUAAA